rnacentral:lncRNA from 1 species
AGUGCUGCCAUAGGAGAUCUUGGAAAAGCCCAGGCCGGGCUCCGUGGCUCACAUCUGUAAUCCCAGCACGGUGGGAGGCUGAGGCGGGUGGAUCACGAGGUCAGGAGUUUGAGACCAGCCUGGCCAAUAUGGUGAAAUCCCGUCUCUACUAAAAAUACAAAAAUUAGCCGGGCCCGGUGGCUGGCGCCUGUAAUCCCAGCUAUUCGGGAGCCUGGGGCAGGAGAAUCGCUUGAAUCCGGGAGGCGGAGGUUGCAGUGAGCUGAGAUCACGCCACUGCACUCCAGCCUGGGCGACAGAGUAAGACUCCGUCUCAAAAGAAAAAAAAAGAAAAGCCCCUCUUUCCAGGUGGACUUGACUGAGGUGAUGUGAAGCUGGAGCCGCUGCUGCCCUGUCAUCAUUAUGUAGAUCCUUAGAGUGAAGCCAACACACAGGGGCCAGUAAGAGAAGGGGUGGAGAAAGAUGGCUUGGUGACUUUGCUGGAGCCCCUGAAUCAGCCAUGCCUGAAGCAGCACAACACCCCUGGGCUUCUCAGUGAAUGGAUAUGACAGUAGCUAAAAGGAGAGGCUGGAAGAGAUUAUAGAAUUUUGUGGAGAAAAAUUCGUUCUUUUCCUGAGGGAAGGCCAAAGCCUGCAGUCAUGAUGGAGUUGGAGAAAGGUGUGAAGGGCCAGGCCAGGAGCCCAGGGAGAGGAGGCCUGAGAGAGGAGCCCUGUGGAAUGAAGCCUGUGAACAGCCCAUUUUCACUUCUGAAGCAGUUGGUCCCCCACAAAAAGAUUAUUUUCUCCAAAGCAGAUGAAAAUCCCCUUUCCCUCCGCCUGCUCCUGCAGCCUGUGGUCAUGGAGGCAAAGAAAUCACCCCUUCCUCUGCCACUUACCAGCUGUGGUCCUGUGCAAAUGUCUUAGCUUCUCUGAGCCUCUGUUUCCUUUCUGUAGAGUGAAAAUAAUUCAUUAUUUGUGAGAUUAUGUGAGGAUUAAGUAAUACUGUAUGUGGAAGGGCUGAACACAGUGCUUGGCACAAAGUGGGUGCAAUAAAAGAGAAUUCCCUUCUAGACUCC